rnacentral:lncRNA from 1 species
UUUUUUUUUUUUUUUGCACAUGCUAGCAAAUGCCAGCAAUUCUUCUGCAAUAAGAGCCAGGUACAAAGCAGUAACCAGGGCACUGAUUAUAACGGAGAAAAUUAGAAACAAACACCUAUAGGACUUUGGUUAGUUAUGGACCACUCACACCAUAUAAUCAGAAAUUAUGAGGCUGUUAAAAAAAAAAAAGGAGGGAGAGAUAGUUCCCCAAAUACUAAUAGAAAAAGGCAUAUAUAUUGCAUGAAAAAAAGCACAAAAAUAUUUAUAAUAUGAACCCAUUUUUAAGAAUUACAAAUACACAUAUUCUGAUACACACGCACAAAAUUCUGGACUGCUUUCCACGCUGAGCAAGGUUCGCAGGCUCACCCUGGGGACCAGGUUGGGGGUGGUGGGUAGAGAAGGGGGGAGAUCUUUGCUUUUUGUGCAAAUAUUUCCAGUGUUGGUUUCGGGGUUUGUUUUUUUACAUGUGCACGUAUCAGUUUAGCAUUCAGUUUUUAAUGACCGCUGAGAACCGGGCGAGGGAUGGAAAAAACCUGGCCUGCUCUGGGUCAGGGUCUCCCCGUCACCCAAGGAGGGGGUGGUGGGGGGGUGGCUCCUGCAUUGGUCACAAAGGUCAGACGGGCAACUGCUCCUCCAGCACUGGGAUCUUGCAACACUCAGGUCUUAUAAUCCCAUGUGAUAGAUCUUCUCCGGUGCCGGCCAAGGAGGACACAGGGCCUGGGCAGUGCGGGGGGGAGGCAUCUGAAUGAGACGGUGGCCAAAGUGCUGGGCAAAACAGGCUCAGGUUCGAGCCUGGUCCCCUGGCUCUUCACGUAAGUCAUCAACGGAGCGCAGGGCUCGGCUGCCUCUCUUUACAUACCUGCAAGGGCCCCCUGUCCAUCCAGGUGUGUGUCUUGGUCAAAAAGAAAGCCCUGCUUUGGGGACUUCUACUUCUGCAGGGCCCCCCACCCACUCCACACAGAAACUCAUGGGGGGGGGGGGCCUAAAUAUACCUAAAUGCUCAGGAGGGCGCCUAUGGUUCGGGGCUGAGAGCUCAGCCCCGGGGGCGGCUGGUUGGUGUUCACUGCUCAGCUCUACCGCCCACUGACCGUGACCACGAGCCUCUUUCUAAUUCUCAGCCCCUCAGUACCUACAACGCGGAUGAUGCUAACAGCGCCCACCCCAGGGGAUGGUUGUGAGGCAGGACGCAAAGUACCUUUCCAAGCGCACAGGCAAACGGAAGCCAGGGGCCAGCCCUGUGGUCACAAACGGUGCCAAAGCCUGGCCCGUGAGUCAGGGCUGUCACCUGACAAUGCUUUGCAUUUGUCGACUGUUUAAACUGCACCCUCCCACAAAGCCCCAGGCCAAGAAGACUACUGGGUAAAAUUAAUACGAAAGUCGGAAGGGUCUGUUCCCAUUCCAGCAGGCUGGGAAAACAUUUCCAUUUUGUUAAAAAAUGGGAGCCGAGAUGCCACCCCAGGUUUGGCCACAUUCUGGGAUGAUGCAAGCUGACUGGCAGCAAAACUCUCUUGCCAAAGCAGCUGCCAGGGAGCGUGCCAUGUUGCGGGCCUGUCAUCCCACGACCCUUGAGGCUUCGAUCUUGCCUUCUGUAAACCAGGGGUGGACACCACGUGAGGCCAAUGAAGGCAGAGGAAGAGGUCACCACAACAGAGAAUGCGUGUGUCCAAGGAGAUGCCAGGCCCUCUGGGAACAAAGCACACGGCGUCAACACGCCCAUCCNAUGUCCCCGGAGCCCUGCGCCAGCAGCGCGUCUCAGAUGCAGGGUCUGCGGCCAGCUUUAGAAACAAACAGGCAGUCGACGCAAACCCAUGACUCUGCUCUAACAGCCUGUUGCUAGCUUUUUCUGGAAAGACCCAGCACUCAGCACCAGCAAAAAAAAAUCUAAGCUGUUGCACGCAUCCCAAACCUGCUCAGUGGGUUGAGCGACGUUAGGACCACUGGCGCGGAGAAGCAUCUCACACUGAGCCUGUCCAGUCAGUCCCACCCGGCCUCCAGCUGGACAGGGGAGGUGGCAAAGCGCCCUGGGCCACCCCCCAGCAGGCAGUGAGGGGUGCUGAGCCAACACACGCAGGUCCCGUCCCCACACGCCAGGCACUCUGUCCCAAGCACCCCGUCUUCCCUCCACCAAAGCUCGCACACACAUGUGCGCGCACACCGCCCCCCACAACGAAGACAAGCAUCAGAAAACAAUACCACACCUAAGAUGAGCACGCCCUGGUAUUCUCUUUUCUAUUUUGUUUCACUUCUUAAAAAGCACUGAUGGGCCUACAAGACUGAUUUUCGGACCCGUGGAUUGGAAGCUGCGCUGGGAAAAAUUCUAGCUGAUGGCCAGCCCCGGGGCUCCCUGCAGCAGAAACACAGAUUCCUCAAAAUACUCCAGCUGCACACACCCCAGCCCCAAGGCCAGGGGCUGCUCACUUCUUGUUUGUUGAAUAAAGGGUGGGGAGAAGGGGCGGGGGUGGGGGGAACAUGGGAAGAGGAAGAAGCCCAGGCACGCACAGGGAAGGGGGGAGGACACGGGAAGGAGGGGGCAGGUCACAAGCUCCCUGAUGGCCCCCAAGUCGGGAGCCUCCUCCCCCCCGCCCCCCGCCUCGUGGUUCCACGAGGCUCCAAGCGGAACCCCCCCCCGGGGGGGGGGCAGAGUCCCCAGCACCCUGGGGCAGCCCUAAUCAAGGCAUCCCCUAAGCUGGACCCGCUGCCCGGCAGGAAGGCAGGCGUCGGGCCGGCUCUCUCUCUCCCACUCUCAGCUCACAGCCUAGAGAGCUCCCAUUUCACAAACAGCCAUCAGAUAGGCUCCUGGAGUCGGCUCCACAUUAGGAAUCUGUCAAAUCACUGAUGGGCUGGUCCCGGCUCUGCCCAGCUUUUCACAAAUCCCAUUCUGAUUUCAAGUGAGUGCGCUUAUAAACGGGGCUCAGGGAAACCUUGGCCCAUCACCCGCGCCCCCCAAGGAACCCACCCCAAGGCUGCCCGUGCGAUCGUGCACCACAGCCUCACGUGUUCCUUGUUCCUCGUCAUCUCACCAGCUCCAAGUUCUCAGGCCUCGGUGACACUGAGGAAGUGUGACCAGCAAACAGGUCAAACCGCCAGCCUCAGCGUCCCCACUGGAUCGCUGUCUUCUAGGUGUUUCUCAAAAUGCUCCAAAAGCCACCGCCACCCCAACAGACCUUCCCCAGAAGGUGGAAUGUGCUGCCUGCAGCCCUCAGCCCCCCACCCCCACCCCGCCGUGGGCACACCUGCCCAAGUCAACUCAUCUCAAUUAGGCGCCUGUUAGAAUUUGAAUCCAGAAGAGAAAGGAUGCAGGUGAGGCCAACUCAGUGUGAGACAGGGUCGCACAGGGAUGACUGACAGCCCGGAUGACUGACAGCCCAGGACUGUCCCCAGGCUACAAAUAGCCCUCCUCACUGGCACCCUGUGUUCCUCCCUUAAAAUAACAGUGACCACAGUGACCCCUGUUUCAUCGCAGGGGCUCCUGAGUAUCUCAGUUAACUUUUACAAUUGCUUUUACAAUAACUUGUGAAGGGGAGCGAUUAUCUCUUCAUUUCAUAGAAGAAAGCGACGCUCCGAAUUUGUCAUUGGCCCAAAUUAGAGGUGAAAACUACAAAGCCAAGUUCUCUGUACCAGCCCGGGUGCCCCACCGGCCAUGGUGGCCUCAGGCCUUCCUGUGAAAUAUCUUUCCAUCACCUGCCCUCCCCUUCCCUCUGGUCCAGGGCCCUGAACACAGACUUCCUUCUGUGAGGCCAGCCACCUGCCCUUCCCCAGGGCAGACUUGUUCUCCUCACCUUUCCUGGGUCCACUCAAGAGGCUCAGGACCAGGAGAUCCGUCAGUCCCCCACUUGAACGCCCAAGUGCUCUCGGAGCAACAGGACUCAGCAGGUCUGUCCCCUGCAGCCUGCUCCUUCCCAGAGGGCUGAGAUCUUUGAUGCUGGAGACCCGGGUUGGUGAAGGCACUCGGACGAGGCCCCAGGGCAAACUAAGGCAGACCUCAGAGGAGAGCCCACGCCUGCAGACCCUAUAAGGUCAGGUCCAGGUCUCUGCCCAGGCCUGGCUUCGGAACAAAUGGCCCUACACACAGACAGGCAUAAAAGUUCCAAAACAAACACUCAGAGACAAAAAUGCUCAAUGAUAAAACAGAUGUUAGCAAAUACAAAGCAUUAUCCAAAUACAAACCAUACGACAAACAGAUCUUCCAACAUUUCUGGGGGGAAGAACUGUUACGUGUGCGUUUAUGUCUCCAUUACUAUGCAUUCGUCAAUUGCUUACUUUCAUUCAUAAGACCCAAAUUACUGAACAGGGGAUAAACAGCAAAUUUCACCAUCCCCUCCCACGACCCGCCGCCUCCCACGAAAACAUUGUUAGAGGCUCUUCUUUCCCAAACACCCCCACUCUCCCGGGGAAACUGCUGGGUUCUAAAAACUCUGAAUCAAUACUGCCAGUUGUUUUAAUCAAGUUUCCUGUUUCGUGGUCACAACUAGGUUGACAUCUGCUUUGUCCACGACUGCCCUCCACCCAGGUAACCAGCCAGUUAUCUAUUUAUCUACACACUGGGGCUCCGUGGCACUUAAAAGUUACCUCAAAAACCCUACGUUUCAUCCCACUUUUUCCUGGCCUUCCCCAAAGGAAAUUAUUUGCAAGGGGAUCUGAUGGAAGGCCUAGCACCCAUCAAGCUGCAGGAAAGGUGCACAGAGCCUGGCAAAGGAGAGACCUGACUGUAAUCUGACAACCGAGAUUCCGACCCGGGGCUCAGCCGGCUGCCCGGCGGCUGUGUGACCUUGGGCUCGUAAAUCUCGCUGAGCCUCAGUUUCCUCAACAGCAAAGCAGGAAUCCUAAUACCACCACCGUCCCCGGAAUAGUUUCAUAAAUGUCCCCGGCGCUGAGCAGGGACUGCUCGCCGCGCGGGGAGAAGCCACCCGUCCUCCCAGGACGGUGCUAGUCUCGAGGUCCAGGGAUCCCGCGGCCGCCCCUCCAGUCAACCAGGCCGGUCAAGGUCAGCCCUGCAGGAGAAGGCCCGAGGGAUGCUCACGAGGCCGCCGGGCCCCGAGACCUGUUUCUCCGCCUCCCUC